GAUUCCUGAAUUGAGGCAUUAUGCUCCUGGAGUUCCAAUUAUUCUUGUUGGAACAAAGCUAGAUCUCCGAGAGGAUAAGCAAUUCUUUGUGGACCAUCCAGGUGCUGUUCCACUUAGCACAGCUCAGGGUGAGGAGCUGAGAAAGUCGAUUGGUGCUGCUGCUUACAUUGAAUGUAGUGCAAAAACUCAACAGAACAUUAAGGCUGUUUUUGAUGCGGCCAUUAAGGUGGUCCUACAACCACCCAAGCAAAAGAAGAAGAAGAAGAGAAAGGGUCAGAAAGCCUGCUCUAUCUUGUGAUUGCUAAAAGCAUUAGCUGAAGGAAGGAGAUGUAGAUUGUUUAUCAACGUCUUCCAAGUCAAAAAAUGCACAACAUAAGGUUCAGUACUGUUAGUCUUGACUGACUAUAACUGGAAAGCAUCAAACCUGCAGUUGUCCGUUUGAUUAUAGGCCGAGAUGUAUAUUUGUGAUCCGAAGUAUGGUUUAGGGGUGUACGAAUGUGCAAAAAUCAUCUCAGUUCGUUUUAAAUAUGUAUAAUCUAUUAUGUAACACUAGUAUGAUGAUUUUUCGUCUUUGCGUCUGCUAAAUGUUGUUGUGUAAUGUGCCUGAACAUACUGAUUUAGAUUGUCCAACAAGUUGAUUUGCUAUUGUCAUUGUUUUGAAACAUAAAGAUGGUGCUGCU
rnacentral:misc_RNA from 1 species